rnacentral:rRNA from 1 species
UACGGAGGGAGCUAGCGUUAUUCGGAAUUACUGGGCGUCAAGCGCACGUAGGCGGCUUUGUAAGUAAGAGGUGAAAGCCUGGAGCUCAACUCCAGAAUUGCCUUUUAGACUGCAUCGCUUGAAUCAUGGAGAGGUGAGUGGAAUUCCGAGUGUAGAGGUGAAAUUCGUAGAUAUUCGGAAGAACACCAGUGGCGAAGGCGGCUCACUGGACAUGUAUUGACGCUGAGGUGCGAAAGCGUGGGGAGCAAACAGG